UAUAAGUGAAAAAAUUUAUUGUAAAAUUUUUAUAUUAGGGAAACAAACAGUUCAACAUAUGAGAAAUGGUUUAAGAAAUUGGGGAAUGUCAACUCAAUGGAAUUUUAUGCAGUUGUUAAAUUAGUAAUUACAACGAUUAUGUAGAAACAUUGGCAUGAGUUCACAAUGUAAUGCAAAAAAUAGGAUGUAAAAUUCUUAGCAUUUAAAAUUAUAUACUCGUUAAAUCCACAUAGAUGAAGACUGGGAAGAGGUGGAAAAACUGAAAACAGUGUGAGAGAGAGAGUGACACUCGUGUCUGAAAUUUUUCUUGAAAGUCAUCGUUGUGCAAUUACAAUGGACGGUCAUGGAAAAUGCUUGGUCAGCCCGUUACUUAGGGAGGCCUGGCUGAAUAUUGGAGAGAGUGAGAGAGGCGCCGGAGGCCAAGAGAACUGGGCUGGACGCCAGGCUCCACUUCAUACCAGAAGUAUGAGCCCAGACAAGUCAUUGAACUUCCUGUAGCUUGGUUUACAAAACUGUAAACGUGGAUGAAGAAGGCCCACAGCGGCAGCUGUUGGGGGAAGGGAGCCGAAUGCGUGGAGGCAGGUCUGCGUCACUGGCAAUGGAAUCUGAGGUCAUACUCCAGCACAGAGAGAUUACAUCUCCUGCUCAUUCCUUAUCUACAUGACCGAUUGAUCAUUGAGGAAAAUUAAAUCGGUCUGCCAAGAUCUGAUCUUCACAUACUACUGAGGCAACUGAGGCUCAGAGGUAUAGAGUAUGUUAUGCAACGCCACGCAGCUGGUCAGUGGCAGAGGUAACACUUUAAUUUCUGGUCCUUCACACCGACUCCCCGUAGUUCUAACACAUGGUGUUCUGAAUAGUCUAAACUCCUAAGGCUUCAGACAUUUACCUGGGUGAGUACAAAAACUUCAAAAUUUAUAACUCUGUCCUCAAAAACCUAGUCCUCAUCUUCUCCCACCUCCUGGACAUUUCCGCUUGGACAUCUUUCUAAAAACUAUAGCUGCACCUGUGAACUCAAUUAUCUUCCCUCUAAACUCCAGGACCUCCACCACCCCGCCCAUCAAUGCUCUGUGUUUUUUAGUGGGAUGUCACUCUUCCAACCUCUCAUGGUCUGAGUUCAUUUAAACCCCUCCCUGGGGAUCCUUUCUCUGAAAUAUUUCUUGUCUCCGUCUACCAUUUUUUAUUUCUAUCACGCCUAGGGCUUAUAUUACUGCAGCAGCUAAAUACGUCUCACCAAGCUGUCACAGUUGAAACACUGCUUAAUCAAAUCAAUUCCUUAAACCAUUCCAGGGCCACACCAGCACUGACCUCUGAGAGCAGCGAUGUUGUCCUAAGGUUCUGGGGACCAAGCCACAGUACCUAGGC